rnacentral:lncRNA from 1 species
AAUGACGUCAUUAUAAAAUAUAAUGUAGGUUGGAUAUAUUUAGAAUAUCUCGUCAUACUGAUUUUUCCGGAUUGUAAAAGAAACGUAAAUAGUGUAAAAGAGAGCUCAAAAUACGAUAAUUUCGCUAGAAACAGAAGGGAAAUGUGUAGAAAAGUGUUUUAUUUAGUCAAUCUAUUCAUUUGUGUGUUUCCUUCUCAUCAAUCUCAGUAAGAUUUGUUGGUGGGUUUUCCACACUAUAAAAACAAAAUGAAUGAUGUGAGGGAAUGUCACUCUGGU